GUUGCUGAUCCCACCAACACUAGCUCCAGCCAGCACUGUGAUGAAAUGAAGAGCUGCCCACCACCGGCAUGAAGGUGUUUCAGCUGUGUGGUGCCAGCUGGCAGGGCAGAGCCCCUGCAGUGACUGGAGUGCCUGGUGUCAGAGUACUGGUCUCAUGUCAGCUCUGGGGUUUGUGUGACACAGGCCACAUGUAGCUUUAAAAGCAUAAGCUCUACAAGGGAGACAGUGGCAGGAAAAAGCCCUACUGUUUUUUUAAAGCAAGCAAGGACACCCAUUCAAC